rnacentral:rRNA from 1 species
UACGGGGGGGGCAAGCGUUGUUCGGAAUUACUGGGCGUAAAGGGCUCGUAGGUGGCCAAUUAAGUCAGACGUGAAAUCCCCAAGCUUAACUUGGGAACUGCGUCUGAUACUGAGUGGCUUGAAUUCGGGAGAGGGAUGCAGAAUUCCAGGUGUAGCGGUGAAAUGCGUAGAUAUCUGGAGGAACACCGGUGGCGAAGGCGGCGUUCUGGACUGCUACUGACACUGAGGAACGAAAGCCAGGGGAGCAAACGGG